GGAGAGGUGCGAGAGUGGUUUAAUCGAGCACACUGCUAAUGUGUUGGGGGAGCAAUCCCCCCGUGGGUUCGAAUCCCACCCUCUCCG
rnacentral:tRNA from 1 species